rnacentral:lncRNA from 1 species
CCAACCAAAGAGUAUGGAACAACCACCAAUGACAGAUCAAAGAGUAUCAAACAACCACCAAUGACAGAUCAAGGAGUAUGGAAAAACCACCAAUGACGGAACCAAGAGUAUCGAACAAACACCAAAUGACAGACCAGAAUAUAUAUGGAACCAAAUCUGACGAAUAACGGCUGAAAUAAUGAAACAAAACGGACCAGAGCACAAGACCACUAAUGACAGACCAAAGUAUGGUAUAACCACUAGCAUCAGACCAGAGGAGGGGACAGCAAUACUAAAAGGGCCGGAAAAGAUGGAAGCAACAACGAUGACAGAAAGCAAUCAGAAGAUGGAACCAUAUAUAAGACAGACUAAAGCAUAUGACGACGCAGGACAGACUAAAUAGUAUGGAACAAGCACCAAAUACAGACCAGAAGAUGACUCUACAAAUGCCAUCGCUGAAAUAACAAAACACAACAGACAACAUGGAAAUCAAAAUUAAUGGAAAACGGCUUUUGAAACAAGACCUCAGAAGAUUGAACCAAAACAAAGGACCCCAAGUGAUAGAGCCACAGAGUAUGGUGCAACUACCAGCAACAGACAACGGCAGACAGAACCACAACUUAUGACAACCCAUAACGGAUCUGAAAUAAUAUAAGAAAAAAUCACAAACGAUAAAAGAAUUAGGUGAAACUACCAACAAAACCGGCCACUGAAGACGAAAACACAACAUUCAGCAGAGCACUAUGAAUAGGACCACCACAGACAAAAGUCCACAGCAGAUGGAACCACAACCCAGGCCACGACUAGAGAAUUCGAACUACAAGUAAUGAUAGAUCUAAGGGCAUCAAUCCAAGACAGACCACAGAGGUUAUGGCAACCAUUCAUGAUGGAUAAAGGAAUAGAACUCUCAGUUACUACAGAAAGAAUCUCAUACCAGAGUCUAGUUCCAGUGUUGACAGCAACAAUUCCUUACAAAACAGACAGGAGCUAGUUGGAUGCAGAACUGUUGAUAGUCUGGAUGCCAUUGCAACACUGUGGGUGGAAUGUACAUCAUUUCACUGGAUGGAAAAACAUGCAAUAGGCCUGAUUGAUCUAAAACCUGUCGCCCUUCAAACUGAGCUACAUACCGUUAAAGUUCAGGAACGAAUUUCCUCCAAAUCGGAUUGGAUAUUGCAAGUCUAGUGUUUUGAACAUGAAAACUCUGUGUAUCCUGUAUUCCCGGUAUCUACAAAAUCUUCACUUGUGCACAAGCAGGCUGCUGAAAAAUAUCUGUAAAUUUGAACCUGUAACCUGGGACGAAGAAAUGUUUCAAUUGAUAUAUGGAGCUGUUCACCAUGAAUAAGUGACCUAAAGACAUUUGAUCCUAAAAUUACAAAAUUAUGUGGUUUUUUUAUUAUGAUCGUAUCAAAAUGUUGUUCAUUUGAUAAAGGGCUAUCUCUGUUGAUUGGGUGUCAAACCCAAUCAACAGAGAUUAAAGUAAACUUUAGGUUAUCUUUUGAAAAGAACUACUUGUAAGUUUUCUGAGUUAUGUGAUAACAUUGUUUUCAUUUCAUACGAGCUUUUAUGAAACUUUUCUCGAAA